AAUUAAUAAAUUUUGAUGUCCGUUAUUGUGAGAAACUUAGGUCACUUUCAGAACUGAUUGAUUUCCCUUCCCUUAAAUACUUAAGGCUCUUUAAGCUUGCAAAGGUAGCAUCAUUAGGUGCAAGGCGUUUUCCUUCAAGUUUAGAAUCACUUUGGAUUGAUGUUGGAAUGCUAUCAUGUAUGUCUAAAGAUGAGUUAGGUUUCGUAUUCCAACGCCUCACUUCUCUAUUUGAGCUUUGUAUUGAGGGUGGUGGGGAGGCAGAUGGUGUUAACAUCCCGCUGAAGGAGCCGUUACUGCCCACUUCUCUCCAACGGUUGUCCCUUGAGAGUCUUGAUGGUUUGAAGUGUUUGGGAAUGGAAGGAAAAGGGCUUCAACAUCUCACAUCUCUCCAUUCUCUCUCCCUAUGGGAUUUAGAUGAAUUGAAGUCGUGGGAAGGGAAUGGGCUUCAACAUCUCACUUCUCUCCGAAAGCUUUGGAUCUAUAAUUGCGAAAGCCUAGAGUCUUGGCCAGAAGAUCACUUAUCAUCCUCUCUUGAAAGACUAUGGAUAAAUGAUUGUCCUUUACUAGAAGAGAGGUAUCAAAAUCAGAAAGGGAAAUAUUGGUCUAAGAUUGCCCACAUUCCUGCCAUCCGGAUAAAUGAUAAAGUGAUAAUAUGAGUGGUUGGAUGACUAGGAAUCAUCGAAAAGUUGGUAGCUGAGGUGGCAAGCUAGUAAUAUUUGUCGAUUGUGAAGGUUCCAGCUUGUUCUAUUGGUUGCAUUCUUGUAUCUAGUUCAAUCUCAUUGUCAUGUUGGUUGUCUUAAUUUCAUUAACAUUUGUAAUUGGUCAAACUAAAUUUGUGGUUUGUUGAUGUUAAUGUCCUGUUAGCUGGUUUUCUUUCUUUCUAAAACUUCAAUAUAUUGGAUUAGGAUUGUGAUAUUGGUGUUGAAUCAUCCAAGUUUAUUCAAAUUAGAAAUUGAAAUUUGUGUUGAAUCAUUUGAUAAUGGUUUGUUAGCAGUGUAUUCUUGUAAUAAAAUAUUGGUAUGUAAACUUUAUUCUAUUGCUCCAAGUUGAAUAUUUAUAAUUUACGAUA